UACGAAGGGGGCUAGCGUUGCUCGGAAUUACUGGGCGUAAAGGGCGCGUAGGCGGAUAUUUAAGUCGGGGGUGAAAGCCCAGGGCUCAACCCUGGAAUUGCCUUCGAUACUGGAUAUCUUGAGUUCGGGAGAUGUGAGUGGAAUGCCGAGUGUAGAGGUGAAAUUCGUAGAUAUUCGGCGGAACACCAGUGGCGAAGGCGACUCACUGGCCCGAUACUGACGCUGAGGCGCGAAAGCGUGGGGAGCAAACAGG
rnacentral:rRNA from 1 species